rnacentral:rRNA from 1 species
UACGAAGGGAGCUAGCGUUGUUCGGAAUCACUGGGCGUAAAGCGCACGUAGGCGGAUUUGUAAGUCAGGGGUGAAAUCCCGGGGCUCAACCCCGGAACUGCCUUUGAUACUGCAAAUCUCGAGUCCGAGAGAGGUGGGUGGAAUUCCUAGUGUAGAGGUGAAAUUCGUAGAUAUUAGGAAGAACACCGGUGGCGAAGGCGGCCCACUGGCUCGGUACUGACGCUGAGGUGCGAAAGCGUGGGGAGCAAAC